GACUUCAGGGAGAGGCUGUGGACCAAGUGCGUCAGUACUGAGAGUGGUAGUGAGGGUCCCAGGCUGGUGCAGCAUGAAGAGUACCACAAGAAAUGCCCACCUGUGAGACCGCUGAGGCCGGGCAGCGCCUAUCCACCUCCCCACCCACUUUUUCUCAGAUCACAGGCCUGGGAUCUUGGUACAGUCCAAAUGGUGGGGAAAGAGCAUGGAGAAUAACAAAUACAGAACACUUCUUGUUGACUUCUUCAGGUGAGAGCUCCAGGCGAGAUUUGAUUUAAAUUAGAAAGAAAAUGUUACAUUAGUAGCAACACCAGUAUUAUGGAGAAAUCUGUAAAACUAUUGAACUUAGAACUAAGUAUUAUUUAACUUGCACAGUCUCUGUAAGACAUAUCAUGCACUUAAACUCUUGUCAGACCAGUAAAGUAAAGUUUAUUUUAGUGCUUGUCACGGAUUGGAUUCCCUGGGAAGCAGAUGCUGUGUUGGAGAUGUGCACAUCACAAUGUUAUUGCAGGAGCAUGUUCUUGGGAAUACAAAUGUGGGGGAGUGAAGAGAAGAAAGCAGGAUGAAGCAGAAGGAAAAGAGGAGCUGCAAUCCAGUGCCCAAAGAGCUGUAGAACUGAGAUCACUCUGAAGAACUGUCCCAAACUGGAAGAAGAGGGGCAAGUAAUUAUAAUACCCUAUUGAUAAUCAUUGGAUGAGAGCUUCCCUGGGGAAGGAGGCAUUACUUUGUUCAUGGUGGGUCCCUUAAGCUAACGCAGUUUCAUCACAACGAUGCUCUCAAUCUGGAGUACACACAUCAAGAGAUGGGCAGACCCUUCAGGAGAGGUUUAAUGCAUCCAGUACACAUCGUGGUCGCUCCGCACAUGCUGGUACCCCCUGCUCCAUUAGCAGAAAUUGCUAAUUCUGAAGGUCUCCCCAUUUAAUGUAAUCCACCUCUCCCUCAUUUAAUCACAAAUACAUUCACGCCCUUCCCAGCAGGAGACAACUGAAUAUCACGUUGUGGGCUGUUCUUCAGGUACGUUCAGGUGAUAUCCAUUCCUCUUCUAGGUGCAGGUUCUCAAGGUCUACUAGCCUGUGGGCAAUGGGAGAUUGGUUAAACGAAUUGAGACACACUCAUAUGGUAGAUCAUUAAAACUAAAGUUGUAGAAGAUAAUCAUUAUAAGAGAAAAAGCUUCUGGGAUGUUGUUAAGGGGAAGAAGAUAAUAAAACAAUGUAUACCAUAUAAUUCCACUUCUGGGGAAAAAACAUACAUAUGAGAAAAAUCUGUAAGAAGGUACAUUAAAAUCCAGUAGUUACUUCUGGGGUGGUAGGAUUAUUGGUUAUUCUACUCUUUCUCCUUUUCUUUAAAUAUGUUUUCUAGAUCAGACAAAAAUAAUGUUACUUUUGAAAUACUGAAAAUAUUAUUUUUCCUCUAAAAAUUAUAGAUGUCUUAUGAGGAGUAUGUUUGUGGCUACAUUAGUCAAUUAAUGAUUGCUUGACCACUAGUUGGAGAAAUCAGGAAUGAGACUUUAAGUGGAGCUCGUAUGUUAACAGUGGCGGCUUCAGAGCCUGGAAGAUUUAGGAAAGGACUAGUCUGGGUAAAAGGAGAAGGUUUAGACCUAUGCUGUUCAAGACAGAGGCCACUAGCCACAUGUGACCACUGAGCACUUGAAAUAUGGCUAGUUCAAAUUGAGAUGUGCUUUAAGUGUAAAAAAAAAAUAAGAUUUCAAAGAUUUAGUAUUAAAAAUAUUUUAAAAUCCUCAAAAAUUUUUAAUAUUACAUCUUGAAAUAAUUAUAUUUUGUAUAUAUUGGGUAAAUAAAAUAUAAUAUUAAAAA
ensembl:lncRNA novel transcript